AACGAACGCUGGCGGCAGGAUUAACACAUGAAAGUCGAGCGCCACGAAAGGGGAGCGGCAGACGGGUGAGUAACGCGUGGGAAUCUACCCAUCUCUACGGAAUAACGCAUGGAAACGUGUGCUAAUACCGUAUACGUCCUUCGGGAGAAAGAUUUAUCGGAGAUGGAUGCUCCCGCGUUGGAUUAGCUAGUUGGUGGGGUAAAGGCCUACCAAGGCGACGAUCAAUAGCUGGUCUGAGAGGAUGAUCAGCCACACUGGGACUGAGACACGGCCCAGACUCCUACGGGAGGCAGCAGUGGGGAAUAUUGGACAAUGGGCGCAAGCCUGAUCCAGCCAUGCCGCGUGAGUGAUGAAGGCCCUAGGGUUGUAAAGCUCUUUCACCGGUGAAGAUAAUGACGGUAACCGGAGAAGAAGCCCCGGCUAACUUCGUGCCAGCAGCCGCAGUAACAC
rnacentral:rRNA from 1 species